rnacentral:rRNA from 1 species
AUGGCUUUAAACGACCCCUCUUGAAACACGGACCAAGGAGUCCAACAUGUACGCAAGUCACGGGGUCUUGAAUAGGCCCAAUGGCGCAAUGAAAGGUGAAGGACGGUGUUUGGAGCCGUCUCAGUUGCGAUCGUGUUCUUUGAUGGGCAUGCGCAGCAACGGCCCGUCCUAAUCGCUUUGUCGAUGGGGCGGAGCAUGAGCGUACACGUUGGGACCCGAAAGAUGGUGAACUAUGCCUGGCCAGGACGAAGUCAGGGGAAACCCUGAUGGAGGUCCGUAGCGAUUCUGACGUGCAAAUCGAUCGUCGGAGCUGGGUAUAGGGGCGAAAGACUAAUCGAACCAUCUAGU